rnacentral:rRNA from 1 species
AGUGAACGCUGGCGGUAGGCCUAACACAUGCAAGUCGAACGGCAGCACAGGAGAGCUUGCUCUCUGGGUGGCGAGUGGCGGACGGGUGAGGAAUACAUCGGAAUCUACUCUGUCGUGGGGGAUAACGUAGGGAAACUUACGCUAAUACCGCAUACGACCUACGGGUGAAAGCAGGGGACCUUCGGGCCUUGCGCGAUUGAAUGAGCCGAUGUCGGAUUAGCUAGUUGGCGGGGUAAAGGCCCACCAAGGCGACGAUCUGUAGCUGGUCUGAGAGGAUGAUCAGCCACACUGGAACUGAGACACGGUCCAGACUCCUACGGGAGGCAGCAGUGGGGAAUAUUGGACAAUGGGCGCAGGCCUGAUCCAGCCAUACCGCGUGGGUGAAGAAGGCCUUCGGGUUGGAAAGCCCUUUUGUUGGGAAAGAAAUCCAGCUGGCUAAUACCCGGUUGGGAUGACGGUACCCAAAGAAUAAGCACCGGCUAACUUCGUGCCAGCAGCCGCAGUAA